CAGUAGCCGCGGGAAUACAGAGGGUGCGAGCGUUAAUCGGAUUUACUGGGCGUAAAGCGCACGUAGGCGGAUAUUUAAGUCAGGGGUGAAAUCCCGCAGCUCAACUGCGGAACUGCCUUUGAUACUGGGUAUCUUGAGUAUGGAAGAGGUUAGUGGAAUUGCGAGUGUAGAGGUGAAAUUCGUAGAUAUUCGCAGGAACACCAGUGGCGAAGGCGGCUAACUGGUCCAUAACUGACGCUGAGGUGCGAAAGCGUGGGGAGCAAACAGGAUUAGAUACCCGUGUAGUCCCUGUCUCUUAUAC
rnacentral:rRNA from 1 species